rnacentral:rRNA from 1 species
AUUGAACGCUGGCGGCAUGCCUUACACAUGCAAGUCGAACGCCCCGCAAGGGGAGUGGCAGACGGGUGAGUAACACGUGGGAACGUACCCUUUGGUUCGGAAUAACUUGGGGAAACUCAAGCUAAUACCGGAUAAGCCCUUAUGGGGAAAGGUUUACUGCCGAAGGAUCGGCCCGCGUGUGAUUAGCUAGUUGGUGAGGUAAUGGCUCACCAAGGCGACGAUCAGUAGCUGGUCUGAGAGGAUGAUCAGCCACACUGGGACUGAGACACGGCCCAGACUCCUACGGGAGGCAGCAGUGGGGAAUAUUGGACAAUGGGGGAAAGCCUGAUCCAGCAAUGCCGCGUGAGUGAUGAAGGCCUUAGGGUUGUAAAGCUCUUUUACCAGUGACGAUAAUGACUGUACCGGAAGAAUAAGCCCCGGCUAACUUCGUGCCAGCCGCCGCCGUAA